CCUACGGGUGGCAGCAGUCGAGAAUCAUUCACAAUGGGGGAAACCCUGAUGGUGCGACGCCGCGUGGGGGAAUGAAGGUCUUCGGAUUGUAAACCCCUGUCAUGUGGGAGCAAAUUAAAAAGAUAGUACCACAAGAGGAAGAGACGGCUAACUCUGUGCCAGCAGCCGCGGUAAUACAGAGGUCUCAAGCGUUGGUCGGAGUCACUGGGCGUAAGGGGUGCGGAGGCGGUUUCUUAAGUCGUGUGUGAAAGGCGCGGGCUCAACCCGCGGCCGGAACAGGAUACUGCGAGACUUGAGUAAUGGAGGGGGAACCGGAAUUCUCGGUGUAGCGGUGAAAUGCGUAGAUAUCGAGAGGAACACUCGUGACGAAGGCGGGUUCCUGGACAUUAACUGACGCUGAGGCACGAAGGCCAGGGGAGCGAAAGGGAUUAGAUACCCCGGUAGUC
rnacentral:rRNA from 1 species